GAUGAACGCUAGCGGGAGGCCUAACACGUGCAAGCCGAGCGGUAUUUGUUCUUCGGAACAGAGAGAGCGGCGCACGGGUGCGGAACACGUGUGCAACCUGCCUUUAUCUGGGGGAUAGCCUUUCGAAAGGAAGAUUAAUACCCCAUAAUAUAUUGAGUGGCAUCACUUGAUAUUGAAAACUCCGGUGGAUAGAGAUGGGCACGCGCAAGAUUAGAUAGUUGGUGAGGUAACGGCUCACCAAGUCAAUGAUCUUUAGGGGGCCUGAGAGGGUGACCCCCCACACUGGUACUGAGACACGGACCAGACUCCUACGGGAGGCAGCAGUGAGGAAUAUUGGACAAUGGGUUAGCGCCUGAUCCAGCCAUCCCGCGUGAAGGACGACGGCCCUAUGGGUUGUAAACUUCUUUUGUAUAGGGAUAAACCUACUCUCGUGAGAGUAGCUGAAGGUACUAUACGAAUAAGCACCGGCUAACUCCGUG
rnacentral:rRNA from 1 species